rnacentral:ncRNA from 2 species
AAAAAAGCAUUGACGAAGAGUAGUAGCAUAUACGGAAACUUAAGAGAGCUGAUGGCAGGUGCGAAUCAGUGUUAAAGUAUAUGUGAAUGGACUUCCGAGCUUCCUGACCGAACCCGUAUGGGCGUAGGCUCAGGCGAUCUGCCAGAUCGUUAUAUCAGGCACGUAUUAACCAACAAUGGCAGAUACGGAUAAGCGGGCUGUAUUACAGUCAACGAAGGUGGCACCACGGGUCUCCCGUCCUUUUU